rnacentral:lncRNA from 1 species
UAGGUAGAUUUCCUCGGUUCUUUUAGAGCAGGGAAUUGAGAGGGAGGAGCUGAGUCUUGGGUGCCUCUGUGUGAAUUACUGCUCCUUUCCCGCACGAACUUACUGAAGUUAUGUACUGUAGCUUAAAUUAGAGUCUGUGCUUUGCCGGCUCUGCUCUCCGUGUGAAGUAAGACCUUGGAGAGGUGAUUACCAAAUAGGAAAACCUUGUCUGGAGCACGGUGAUCUGUGUCCCAAUAAAAUCUCUCGGAAGCUGAGCUCAAAACAAAUGUAAAUAAAAGUUGGAAUUUGGGGAAUGUGUAAUAGCAGAAUUAAUUUACUGCUUAUGCUUUCUGAAGUUGAAGUUCAAUACAUGUUUUUAUUAUAAAAUUCUCAGGUAUAAUAUACAUUAAAAAUAAUUUUAUGACUUGAUUUUUAUACCUCUAAGGAUAUAUGUUAACACAUACAAAUCUAAAUAUGUACAUAUAGAAUACUUCUGUAGUACCUUAAUUUAAUGAAUAACUGUGUGGAGCUGAUUUUGGCCCUGGAAAGCCUGCUCUUUCAUCACAGGAGUGGCCUGUGCUUUCGUAUGGCAGAUAUAGCAUAAAAGAUGAGUUUAAAUUAAAUAAGUACAGAAAGAUGAACGUCAUCUAAAUUCAAGUAAAGAUUAUGUCUUUUCUCCUGAAGAAUUCACUUUGUCAUUGAUCUGAUGGUCCUUACAUAAUAGACCUCAGCAGUUCAUUCCUAGCCACGCCCUGCUAUUGUUUACCACGCCCUGCUAUUGUUUACCACGCCCUGCUAGUGUUUACCAUGCCCUGCUAGUGUUUACCAGGGGGUUUCCUCAUAGAGUGGGAGGUUGGUCAUCAGUACUGACAGUGUCUCGCCAGCACUCUUUGUUGCUUAGAUGAUCACCAGGGACUGGCAGUGUCCAUCUCUCUGUGUAAAUGGGAACUAGAUGCCCGGGAACUAGAUUGAGCUUAACUCAUAGCUGAGGAAUGUGACUGAGUGGUGCGUCCAUCAUACAUAGGAUCCCACCCAUUCUGCUGGCUGUGCCAGUGGAAUAGGCUGAGGGAAAUGAAGGGACAGUUCAGAUCUUAAUGGGAACCAGCGAUCUCCCGUCCCCUGUUGAUUAACCAAGGGACUUGAUAGACAACCCUUCUAUCACAGAGAAGCUCUUUGGGAAGUUUUCUAUAACGGUGUACUGUACCCGUAAUCACUUGAGAAAAACAAAAUUUAUGAUGUGCCCCAGAUUUUUUUUUAAAUUAUCAAAUCAAAUAUAUGUAUCAGAAGAUUAAAUGCUACCCCUUAAAUGAUUACCAAAUACUUUGGGCAAGAGGAGUUUCUUUGUGAAAACAAAGCAAGUUGGAUGGUGCACAGCAACGAUGUUUACAUGACUCAGAGCAGAAGAAACUAAAAAUGCAUCCUAGCAGAGCAUCCAGGAGAGAGGGAGGUCCAGGGAGGGAGACUGACAGAAGCAAGAGUGGCACCAGAGCUUAGUGCCAGCACCACCCUUAAAAGGCUUUUACCUUGCAGGCCAUUCAGAGAGCUGAGACCAAGAUCAAAGCC